UGGGCGUUUGGGUUGCAUGCCUUGCCAUGUUGUAGGGGUGCAGUCUUUCGGGGCUGAUGAUCUCUGCGUAUUACCAUGAGCAAAUCAGAGUGCUCAAAGCAGGCUUUAUAGCUUGAAUGUUUUAGCAUGGAAUAAUGAAAUAAGCCUUAGGUCUUGUUUCGUUGGUUUACUUGACACUGGGGAAUGAUGAAUAGGAACGGUUGGGGGCAUUUGUAUUUGGCCGCUAGAGGUGAAAUUCUUGGAUUGGCCGAAGACAAACUACUGCGAAAGCAUUUGACCCAGGACGUUUUCAUUGAUCAGGGACUAAAGUUGAGGGAUCGAAGACGAUUAGAUACCGUCGUAGUCUUAACCACAAACUAUGCCGACUAGCGAUCGCAUGGAUACUUUUUUUGUUCUAUGCGGCAGCUUAGCGAAAGUAAAGUCUUUGGGUUCUGGGGGGAGUAUGGGACGCAAGGCUGAAACUUAAAGGAAUUGACGGAAGGGCACCACCAGGAGUGGAGCCUGCGGCUUAAUUUGACUCAACACGGGGAAACUCACCAGGUCCAGACAUAAGAAGGAUUGACAGAUUGAAAGCUCUUUCUAGAUUUUAUGGGUGGUGGUGCAUGGCCGUUCUUAGUUCGUGGAGUGAUUUGUCUGGUUAAUUCCGAUAACGGACGAGACCGUAUGGAAUAGUUGGAUGGGCCCAUCUUUUGAUGGGUUGUAUGAGACUUUUGUCUCCCAUCCGCCUAUUCCGACUACUGA
rnacentral:rRNA from 1 species